CGACAAGAUCUCCCACUCAGGCCAGCUGGAUGUCCUGAACCCGCCCCGAGCCCGCCCCCGACCCGCCCCCUGCGCUUCAGGAACCGCGGAGCCCGCCUGCCGAACUCGUGUACCCCUUGUCACAAGUACCUGGAAGUGAUAAGAACCAGGAUGUUAAUGCAGGAGGAAACAAUUUUCUGCCCCAGCAGGAGUGCUGGACCACCUCUACAAAGAAGGCCAGACGAGUGCUUGCUAAUGAGCCAUUCUGGGCUCCCAGCUCCCACGGUUGCCCUGAGUUCAGCAUGUACCUGCCUUGCUCACUUUCCAAGCCAGCUGGAGCAGCCCACACACUCAGGCACAAGACGAACUUUCUCAUUCUCAGUGGGAUCACCACACAGAUCCGUUCCACGAUUUUGAAUAUUUCCUGUGGCAGCUAGCCAAAAUUCCUCAACCUGCCAAAUGACCGACAAGGAAGAUGAACACUUUUUUUAAAUGCAAUAAGCACAAGAAAAUUCCCCAAGCGCUUGUGAUGCUUACAAUAUUAGCAUGGCUGGAGACCACCUCAUCCAGUGUGUGUGUGCCCUGCACUGUUCCAAGAUCUG